rnacentral:rRNA from 1 species
GACGAACGCUGGCGGCGUGCUUAACACAUGCAAGUCGAACGGAAAGGCCUGCAGCUUGCUGCGGGUACUCGAGUGGCGAACGGGUGAGUAACACGUGGGUGAUCUGCCUUGCACUUCGGGAUAAGCUUGGGAAACUGGGUCUAAUACCGGAUAGGACAGCUGUUUAGUGUCAGUUGUGGAAAGUUUUUUCGGUGCAAGAUGAGCUCGCGGCCUAUCAGCUUGUUGGUGGGGUAAUGGCCUACCAAGGCGUCGACGGGUAGCCGGCCUGAGAGGGUGUACGGCCACAUUGGGACUGAGAUACGGCCCAGACUCCUACGGGAGGCAGCAGUGGGGAAUAUUGCACAAUGGGCGGAGGCCUGAUGCAGCGACGCCGCGUGGGGGAUGAAGGCCUUCGGGUUGUAAACUCCUUUCGACAGGGACGAAGCUUUUGUGACGGUACCUGUAUAAGAAGCACCGGCUAACUACGUG